CGGGUCGCCGCAUGCGGCGAUGCAAAAUCGUUCCCGACGAUUUUGUCGAACCUGCGGCAGGUUCUCAUCCUGCACGGUCGGGC
rnacentral:tRNA from 1 species